rnacentral:hammerhead_ribozyme from 1 species
AUUUAGCUGACGAGUUCCAGACAGGACGAAACGCGCGUCCUGAAU